AACGUAGGGGACAAGCGUUAUCCGGAUUUACUGGGCGUAAAGCGCCCGCAGGCGGUAGGGUAAGUUGGCCGUGAAAGCUCCUGGCUUAACCGGGAGAGGACUGUCAAAACUGCUUUACUUGAGGCCGAGAGAGGAGAGCGGAAUUCCCGGUGUAGUGGUGGAAUGCGUAGAUAUCGGGAGGAACACCAGUGGCGCAGGCGGCUCUCUGGCUCGUAACUGACGCUGAGGGGCGAAAGCGUGGGGAGCGAACGGG
rnacentral:rRNA from 1 species